rnacentral:rRNA from 1 species
CCUACGGGAGGCAGCAGUGGGGAAUUUUCCGCAAUGGGSGAAAGCCUGACGGAGCAACGCCGCGUGAGGGACGAAGGCCUCUGGGCUGUAAACCUCUUUUCUCAAGGAAGAAGAUAUGACGGUACUUGAGGAAUAAGCCACGGCUAAUUCCGUGCCAGCAGCCGCGGUAAUACGGGAGUGGCAAGCGUUAUCCGGAAUUAUUGGGCGUAAAGCGUCCGCAGGCGGCUUUUCAAGUCUGCUGUUAAARCGUGGAGCUUAACUCCAUCAUGGCAGUGGAAACUGAAAGGCUUGAGUAUGGUAGGGGCAGAGGGAAUUCCCGGUGUAGCGGUGAAAUGCGUAGAUAUCGGGAAGAACACCAGUGGCGAAGGCGCUCUGCUGGGCCAUUACUGACGCUCAUGGACGAAAGCCAGGGGAGCGAAAGGGAUUAGAUACCCCUGUAGUCCUGGCCGUAAACGAUGAACACUAGGUGUCGGGGGAAUCGACCCCUUCGGUGUCGUAGCUAACGCGUUAAGUGUUCCGCCUGGGGAGUACGCACGCAAGUGUGAAACUCAAAGGAAUUGACGG